UAUGUUUGAUAAACAUUUGAUAUAUUCACAGGAUGCCUCCAAAAAUGGUAGCUUGUAUUGUAGUUGAGUCUUUAUCAAUCCUAGAGAAGAUGCACUUAAGAGGGUAUGUUAUUGUAGUACCUUUUUUUGUUUUUGUUAAUUUUUAAUAAAUAUUGCCUGCCUUUGUUUUCAAAUAGCAAUUUGUGUAAAAUUUCUAACUAAAUGCCACCGUUAUGGAUUAGAGAAGAGAUAUUUGUUGUAUUCUUUCCUGU
rnacentral:lncRNA from 1 species